CCCCAGUAUGCAAUCAUAAAACAUAAUUGUCUAGAAACUGCUUGUAAGGAGAGAUGGAAUUGUUCAAUGCUUGGUUUGCUAUGUGUAGUGUCAGAAUUGGUAAGGGUUGGAGAUGGUAGAAUGGUUGGUAAAUCUGUAAAACAUACAUUAGUAGAGGAUUUGACAACAGUGUUUGGUGGUUCAUUAACAAAUAUUGGCUAUUCUUGUAACAAUGGCCACGAUAGUACUUCUCCUCACAAUUGAAACAUAAUUCUUUGCUCUACAAGCAUCUAUCUCAAUUUUGUUUAAUGAAGGAAUUAGUGGUGUAGUUUUGGUGUUGGAAGGUGGUAAAAUUAAGGCCAAUGGUGGUUGUGUUGCAUUCGGUAAUGUGAGGCAAAAGUGUGGUGGUGGUUUAGGUAGGAUAAGUGCCAUGGUUCCAGACUAAUUUGGGCAAGAAGCAUAAACUAAGGUAGUGUGUGAGGCUGAUAAUUUGGUUUUCACCCAUUUUUCCAAACCAAUGGCUUAUGAACUAGAAUUAGGAUGCAACAUGGAUAAUUCAUUCUGUAUGUCAGGGCUCAAACCAGAAAUGAUGCAGUCCCAAAUGGAAUGAGGAGGCAAGCCAAUGACACAGUUGCACAAAUGCUCAAAAUCAUGUUGAUAAUCAGAAACUCAUGCGGUUUAUUGUAACUUGAAUAAUGCUUGUUGAUGAUUUUCAUAUGCAUAUAGGCCAAAUCUAAGUUCCCAAGAACGCGCGAUUUCCUCCCAAGUUUUAAUCAAAUGGUUGUUAUGCAUCCAUUGGUACCAAUCAAGUACAUAUCCAAUCAUAUAACAAGAAAUUCUAGUGACACGGUCAGGAGGAGUGAUGGAAUAAUGAUCGAAAUAUUGGUAUUGUCUAUGUUUGGUGACAGAGGGGUGGGAGAGAAUAUGGUUCUAGUUUAUGUUGAAAAAUUUGGAAGUUCUAUAAAUAUGAUUCAUACCAGAGAUCUUUGGUGAGUUCUGAAGUCAUGAAAUGUAGUAGUGAUGGUUGCAAUUAAAUAUUGGCGUUGAGGCAAAUCUUGUGAACGAACAAAUGAUAGGUUGUGGUAUGUGGAUAUAGUGAUAAAAUCACCAAAUGAUAAGUUGUGGUAUGUGGAAGUGAUAUUUAUUCAACUUAGAGAAGGAAUAGGUCUCCUAAGGAAGCACCACAAUAGUACUAAAUAAUCAAUACAAAUAACUACCUCCCUAAAGUUUAGGAUAAAAUGAUUGUUUCCCUCAACCCACUAAAUUAU
rnacentral:lncRNA from 1 species